UUUCUGGAGGAAGGUUCGUCCGCUCCAGGUUAGUCGGGAGCUAAGGUGAGGCCUAACGGCGUAGCCGAUGCACAGACGGUAGAGAUUCCGUCACCACCAAAAGAGUUAAACACAGGGACACAUUUGAAGUCUCGGAGCCGGGUGUUGGUUCCGGUAGCGAUCGAGGGAAAUUAGUACCGAAGUCCGGGAUGGAAGAUGGCGAGAAAAGCUGUGUGUAUUUCUGCGGUGCCCGUACCGCAAACCGACACAGGUAGGUAGGAAGAAGAUUCUAAGGCCAACGGGAGAAGGGUUGUUAAGGAACUCGGCAAAUUGACCCCGUAACUUCGGGAGAAGGGGUGCUCCAGAGAUGGAGCCGCAGAGAAUCGGCCCAAGCAACUGUUUACCAAAAACACAGGUUUGUGCUAAAUCGAAAGAUGACGUAUACGAGCUGACGCCUGCCCGGUGCUGGAAGGUUAAGAGGAGAUGUGCAAGCAUUGAAUCGAAGCCCCAGUGAACGGCGGCCGUAACUAUAACGGUCCUAAGGUAGCGAAAUUCCUUGUCAGGUAAGUUCUGACCCGCAUGAAAGGCGUAAUGAUUUGGGCACUGUCUCAACAGCCCGCCCGGCGAAAUUGUAGUACCGGUGAAGAUGCCGGUUACCCGCGACAAGACGGAAAGACCCCAUGGAGCUUUACUGUAGCCUAAUAUUGGGUUUCGAUGUUGCAUGCACAGGAUAGAUGGGACACUGGGAAGCAAGUGCUUUGGCAUUUGUGGAGUGGCCGUUGGGAUACCAUCCUUGCGAUAUUGGAAUUCUAACCUGCGCCUUUGAAUCAAGGCGGGGGACAUUGUUAGGUGGGCAGUUUGACUGGGGCGGUCGCCUCCUAAAGAGUAACGGAGGCGUUCAAAGGUUCGCUCAGCUUGAACGGAAAUCAAGCAAAAGAGUGCAAACGCAGAAGCGAGCCUAACUGCGAGACUGACGGGUCGAGCAGUAACGAAAGUUGGAGUUAGUGAUCCGGUGGUAUGUGAGUGGAAAUGCCAUCGCUCAACGGAUAAAAGUUACCCUGGGGAUAACAGGCUGAUCUCCCCCAAGAGUCCACAUCGACGGGGAGGUUUGGCACCUCGAUGUCGGCUCAUCGCAUCCUGGGGCUGUAUUCGGUCCCAAGGGUUUGGCUGUUCGCCAAUUAAAGCGGUACGCGAGCUGGGUUCAGAACGUCGUGAGACAGUUCGGUCCCUAUCUGUCGUGGGCGCAGGAUAUUUGAUGGGAGCUGUCCCUAGUACGAGAGGACCGGGACGGACGUACCUCUGGCGCACCAGUUGUUCCGCCAGGAGCAUAGCUGGGCAACUACGUACGGAUCGGAUAAACGCUGAAAGCAUCUAAGCGUGAAGCCGACCCAAAGAUAAGAUAUCCCACUGAUUCAAUCAGGUAAGAUCCCUUGUAGACUACGAGGUUGAUAGGCACGAUGUGUAAGUGGAGCGAUCCAUUCAGCAAGUGUGUACUAAUAGAUCGAGGGCUUGACCA
rnacentral:rRNA from 1 species